GUUUUUAUUAUUUUACUGUUUGAGUAAUCGUGGUGUGAUUAGGGUUUCUCAUUUGUUGUUUAUUAGUGGUGUUUUUUUUUCAGAAAUGAAGAAGAAUGGAUGUUGUGGACUAUUAGGUCUAAAUCCAGAACAAUUAGGUUAUUUCAGAGACCAUUUGGACUAAUAUAGGGGUUAUAUCCAAGUCUUAGCUUCAGCUGGUGUCUAACAUGGUUGUAUGGGACUUCAAAUCCAAUGAAAAUCAGGUACGUUGUCGAUGAUUGUUCCGAUAACAACAAUGGCAUAGAGUAGAUGAAGGGGCUCUUGUCAGUUAGACCCGCAAGCACAUAUGAGUUUUGCUGGUUUAAAGACGCACUCCAACUGUUUGAUGAAAUGCUUCAACUAAAAAUUCAAGAUGCAAAUUACCGGCAUAUGCGUUUUUGCGAUGGACAUCAUCUGAAAAUGAAAUUCAUCAAACUAAUUUGCUGUUUUUUGGGGACUUCAAGAAUUAGAAUGGAUAACGGGUAGAUUGAUACUGAUGGUGUCUCUUUAGCAACAUGCUGGACAGGUUUGAUUGAUAUUACAAGUUUUCAUCUUAUUAUAUGUUUACAACUGGAAUAAUAAUUUCCUUGGUGCAACAGGAGGUAGCAUUGUCAUUUGUACUUUACUUUUGUUUAUUUGAUUUAGGGUAAAGGGAUGUUAUUAGAAUCAACUCUAAUGAACAGGUGCUCCCAAAAUGGUCACAAACAGGUUGAGAUUAUUUUUACAUUGUAGCACGCAUCCACCAAAUAUAUACCAUAUUCUGGACAAUAUAUAAUUCAAGGAUAACAUAAGAUAUGGGUCGUGGUGUCCCAUGUAGAGAGUUCAAAAUGUGAAAUAUGCUGGAAUGUUUCACCUCAUGUUGGUUCAUUUUUUUUUAUCACCCGACGCUUUGCAAACGCUGAUGUUAUUGCUGGUCAACCACUUCAUGUUCUUGCAGCUGCAGAAAGUGGAAAGUAAAAUCGUGCAGAAAGUUCGAGGAUAGCGCAUGCUUCUGGUCAAACGGUGGUCGCUUGAUUUUUUAUUUGAAUCGCUUGGUGAAACGUGUGGGCGGAUGUAUUUCCAAAAAUCUUUGCUUUUGAGUCCAACAAAAAUGAAAUUGUGGCUGUGAGAUGUCAAUCGUAGUGUCUCAAUUUGGUUUUGGGAGUGAAAAAGGGAACCAUUGUUGGAUGAAGAGCUGUUAGAGUUUGGUCUUUGUCAAAAUUUAAUUCAAGAGAUCACGCUAUGGGAGUCUACUAACCAGAUUUUGAGGAAGCGGGUUGACCAUUUCGAAAUAUGUUGGCCCUUUGAAUAAUACCAGGUCAAAUGAGACCUACGAAGCUGCAUGAAGCACGGUUUGAGGCCUUGCAACAAGGGAUCUUGAAAGCUUCAAUAUUUGUUUAUGAACAAUUAUGUCAUAAAAGAUGCGUUCAUCAGAAAUCGGUAUUACUGUCCGCUGGCGCACGAAAGAUACUUAUAAGGAUAUCAAAGUGUUGGUUUUAUUUGAAUCAUAGUGUUGACGUUAACACACAUUUUCACGGCCGCGUCGAUAAAGUUUCACCCACACCGAUUUCUCAGUCGUUGAUCGAGCAUUUUAUGCAUAGUCGUCAAUAGCGAAUUGCUGAUGAUGACGAUAAGCUACAUAUACGCUACGUAGCUAUAGUGUUAAAAUAGCGGGCGCCAUAGUUGUUAACGGUGAAUAGCGACAAAUAGCGAUAAGGUACCUACCUAUAUGUUACAUAGCGAAUAAUGAUAAAUAGCGAGCAGUGAUGGUGAUUAACGGUGGGUAUAAGUUCCGGGGGUGGUAGAAGGUGAUUGUGGUGGUGACGGUUGACAAUUAUGGCGGACAAUGGUGGUUUGGUUUUUAGUGGUGCUCGGUGGAGCUAUGGAGAGUAACCGGGGUAGCCGGUGAGGUAUUAACCAGAGACGAGUCAAGUAACGAGUCAACCACUGGUCAACCGCGGUCAAAGCUGGUCAAUAGUGGUUAACAUGUCAGACUCGGUUGGCAUUUGAAUCGGGGAAACUCGGUGAGAAAUUCAAGAACUGGGCAUUCGUGAUGCCAUAUUAUAUUGACGGAAGUAGUAUGUACCCACUUGUAUACGAAUCUUUAUUACCUAAAGUACGUCGUUAGCACCACAAGCACGCCUUUGUCUCUGUUGAAGACAAAUCGAGCGUUAGCUGCACCAGAUAAAAAAAAACCUUUGUCUCUGUUGAAGACAAAUUGAGCGUUAGCCGUACCAGAAAAAAAGAGCUAUGAGUUUCAUCAACUGCUGUUGUAUUAUGUGGGCACAUAAGUAGUUAUCACUCAAUUAGCUAUUGGUGCUCCUCUGCCUACCGUAGGUU